AUUGAACGCUGGCGGCAUGCCUUACACAUGCAAGUCGAACGGCAGCACGGGAGCAAUCCUGGUGGCGAGUGGCGAACGGGUGAGUAAUGUAUCGGAACGUGCCCAGUCGUGGGGGAUAACGUAGCGAAAGCUACGCUAAUACCGCAUACGAUCUGUGGAUGAAAGCGGGGGACCGUAAGGCCUCGCGCGAUUGGAGCGGCCGAUAUCAGAUUAGGUAGUUGGUGGGGUAAAGGCCUACCAAGCCGACGAUCUGUAGCUGGUCUGAGAGGACGACCAGCCACACUGGGACUGAGACACGGCCCAGACUCCUACGGGAGGCAGCAGUGGGAAAUUUUGGACAAUGGGCGCAAGCCUGAUCCAGCAAUGCUGCGUGCAGGAUGAAGGCCUUCGGGUUGUAAACUGCUUUUGUACGGAGCGAAAAGGCUCUCUCUAAUACAGGGGGCUCAUGACGGUACCGUAAGAAUAAGCACCGGCUAACUACGUGCCAGCCGCCGCCGUAACAC
rnacentral:rRNA from 1 species